CCUACGGGAUGCAGCAGUGGGGAAUAUUGGACAAUGGGCGAAAGCCUGAUCCAGCCAUGCCGCGUGUGUGAAGAAGGCCUUCGGGUUGUAAAGCACUUUCAGUGGGGAAGAAAGCCUUGGGGCUAAUACCCUCGAGGAAGGACAUCACCCACAGAAGAAGCACCGGCUAACUCCGUGCCAGCAGCCGCGGUAAUACGGAGGGUGCGAGCGUUAAUCGGAAUUACUGGGCGUAAAGCGCGCGUAGGCGGUCUGAUAAGCCGGUUGUGAAAGCCCCGGGCUCAACCUGGGAACGGCAUCCGGAACUGUCAGGCUAGAGUGCAGGAGAGGAAGGUAGAAUUCCCGGUGUAGCGGUGAAAUGCGUAGAGAUCGGGAGGAAUACCAGUGGCGAAGGCGGCCUUCUGGACUGACACUGACGCUGAGGUGCGAAAGCGUGGGUAGCAAACAGGAUUAGAUACCCAGUAGUC
rnacentral:rRNA from 1 species